CGACCUCAGAGCAGGCGAGACUACCCGCUGAAUUUAAGCAUAUUACUAAGCGGAGGAAAAGAAACUAACAAGGAUUCCCCCAGUAGCGGCGAGCGAACAGGGAAGAGUCCAGCACCGAACCCCGCAGGCUGCCGCCUGUCGUGGCAUGUGGUGUUUGGGAGGGUCCACUACCCCGACGCCUCGCGCCGAGCCCAAGUCCAACUUGAAUGAGGCCACGGCCCGUAGAGGGUGCCAGGCCCGUAGCGGCCGGUGCGAGCGUCGGCGGGACCUCUCCUUCGAGUCGGGUUGCUUGAGAGUGCAGCUCCAAGUGGGUGGUAAACUCCAUCUGAGACUAAAUAUGACCACGAGACCGAUAGCGAACAAGUACCGUGAGGGAAAGUUGAAAAGAACUUUGAAGAGAGAGUUCAAAAGUACGUGAAACCGUUCUGGGGUAAACGUGAGAAGUCCGAAAGGUCGAACGGGUGAGAUUCACGCCCAUCCGGCCACUGGCCUCCGCCCUCGGCAGAUGGGGCCGGCCGCCCGCGCGGAGCAAUCCGCGGCGGGGUCGUGUCCGGUUGCCUUUCCACUCGCCGCGGGGUGGGGCCGUUCCGGUGUGCGGUGGGCCGCACUUCUCCCCUAGUAGGACGUCGCGACCCGCUGGGUGCCGGCCUACGGCCCGGGUGCGCAGCCUGUCCUUCCGCGGGCCUCGGUUCGCGUCUGUUGGGCAGAGCCCCGGUGUCCUGGCUGGCUGCCCGGCGGUAUAUCUGGAGGAGUCGAUUCGCCCCUUUGGGCGCUCGGGCUCCCGGCAAGCGCGCGCGGUUCUUCCCGGAUGACGGACCUACCUGGCCCGGCCCCGGACCCGCGCCGCUGUUGGCUCGGGAUGCUCUCGGGCGGAAUAAUCGCUCCCGUCAGCGGCGCUUCAGCUUUGGACAAUUUCACGACCCGUCUUGAAACACGGACCAAGGAGUCUAACAUGUGCGCGAGUCAUUGGGCUGUACGAAACCUAAAGGCGUAAUGAAAGUGAAGGUCUCGCCUUGCGCGGGCCGAGGGAGGAUGGGGCUUCCCCGCCCUUCACGGGGCGGCGGCCUCCGCACUCCCGGGGCGUCUCGUCCUCAUUGCGAGGUGAGGCGCACCUAGAGCGUACACGUUGGGACCCGAAAGAUGGUGAACUAUGCCUGGCCAGGACGAAGUCAGGGGAAACCCUGAUGGAGGUCCGUAGCGAUUCUGACGUGCAAAUCGAUCGUCGGAGCUGGGUAUAGGGGCGAAAGACUAAUCGAACCAUCUAGUAGCUGGUUCCCUCCGAAGUUUCCCUCAGGAUAGCUGGUGCUCGUACGAGUCUCAUCCGGUAAAGCGAAUGAUUAGAGGCCUUGGGGCCGAAACGACCUCAACCUAUUCUCAAACUUUAAAUGGGUGAGAUCUCCGGCUUGCUUGAUAUGCUGAAGCCGCGAGCAAACGACUCGGAUCGGAGUGCCAAGUGGGCCACUUUUGGUAAGCAGAACUGGCGCUGUGGGAUGAACCAAACGCCGAGUUAAGGCGCCCGAAUCGACGCUCAUGGGAAACCAUGAAAGGCGUUGGUUGCUUAAGACAGCAGGACGGUGGCCAUGGAAGUCGGAAUCCGCUAAGGAGUGUGUAACAACUCACCUGCCGAAGCAACUAGCCCUGAAAAUGGAUGGCGCUGAAGCGUCGUGCCUAUACUCGGCCGUCAGUCUGGCAGUCAUGGCCGGUCCUUGCGGCCGGCCGCGAAGCCCUGACGAGUAGGAGGGUCGCGGCGGUGGGCGCAGAAGGGUCUGGGCGUGAGCCUGCCUGGAGCCGCCGUCGGUGCAGAUCUUGGUGGUAGUAGCAAAUACUCCAGCGAGGCCCUGGAGGGCUGACGCGGAGAAGGGUUUCGUGUGAACAGCCGUUGCACACGAGUCAGUCGAUCCUAAGCCCUAGGAGAAAUCCGAUGUUGAUGGGGGCCGUCAUAGCAUGAUGCGCUUUGUGCUGGCCCCCGUUGGGCGAAAGGGAAUCCGGUUCCUAUUCCGGAACCCGGCAGCGGAACCGAUACAAGUCGGGCCCCUCUUUUAGAGAUGCUCGUCGGGGUAACCCAAAAGGACCCGGAGACGCCGUCGGGAGAUCGGGGAAGAGUUUUCUUUUCUGCAUGAGCGUUCGAGUUCCCUGGAAUCCUCUAGCAGGGAGAUAGGGUUUGGAACGCGAAGAGCACCGCAGUUGCGGCGGUGUCCCGAUCUUCCCCUCGGACCUUGAAAAUCCGGGAGAGGGCCACGUGGAGGUGUCGCGCCGGUUCGUACCCAUAUCCGCAGCAGGUCUCCAAGGUGAAGAGCCUCUAGUCGAUAGAAUAAUGUAGGUAAGGGAAGUCGGCAAAUUGGAUCCGUAACUUCGGGAUAAGGAUUGGCUCUGAGGAUCGGGGCGUGUCGGGCUUGGUCGGGAAGUGGGUCAGCGCUAACGUGCCGGGCCUGGGCGAGGUGAGUGCCGUAGGGGUGCCGGUAAGUGCGGGCGUUUAGCGCGGGCGUGGUCUGCUCUCGCCGUUGGUCGGCCUCGUGCUGGCCGGCGGUGCAGGAUGCGCGCGCCUGCGCGGCGUUCGCGCCCCGGUGCUUCAACCUGCGUGCAGGAUCCGAGCUCGGUCCCGUGCCUUGGCCUCCCACGGAUCUUCCUUGCUGCGAGGCCGCGUCCGCCUUAGCGUGCUCCUCCGGGGGCGCGCGGGUGCGCGGAUUCUCUUCGGCCGCCAUUCAACGAUCAACUCAGAACUGGCACGGACUGGGGGAAUCCGACUGUCUAAUUAAAACAAAGCAUUGCGAUGGCCCUAGCGGGUGUUGACGCAAUGUGAUUUCUGCCCAGUGCUCUGAAUGUCAACGUGAAGAAAUUCAAGCAAGCGCGGGUAAACGGCGGGAGUAACUAUGACUCCUGAGUGCCUAUGGGGGCCGGUCACACGUGAGGAGGUCGCUGCUGCCUUGCCGCCCAGGGGAUCGGCAGCCGGGCCGGACGGCCUGACUCCAGCGGAGCUGCGGCGCCUGCCGCAUGAAGUCCUGGUGAAACUCUUGAACCUCUUCCUCCUGGCCCGCGCCCUCCCCGAGCGUCUGCUUCGCGCCCGGACGUCACUUCUCCCCAAAACGGCUGCACCAACAUCCCCCGCUGACUUUCGCCCCAUUACGGUCUGCUCGGUGUUGGCGCGGACCUUUCACAAGGUUCUCGCGUCACGCCUGAUGCGUGCAUGUGCUGUGGACGAACGUCAGCGGGCAUUCAUCCCCCGGGAUGGGAUGUUGGAAAACACCUUCAUCUUGGACACUGCUCUCACCGACGCAGUCCGCUCCUGUCGCUCUGUUUUUGUGGCAUCGAUCGACGUCUCUAAAGCGUUCGAUUCGGUGGACCAUGCUGCCCUCCGCCCCGUGCUGAGGGCUCAUGGCCUGCCGGAUUGCUUUAUUGAGUACGUCGAAAGGUGUUACGAGGGUAGCACGACAGUGAUAGCGGGCGGCGCCGACGUGGGCGUGCCCCUGCAGCCGGCUAGGGGUGUGCGUCAGGGUGACCCCCUCUCCCCCCUCCUUUUCAAUUUUGCGGUGGACUAUGUUUUGAGUCAACUUCCCUCCCACAUCGGAGCUCGGAUCCUUGGUCGCAGAGUUAACGCUGCGGCCUUCGCAGAUGACGUCCUGCUUUUUGCAUCGACCGCGAGGGGAUUGCAGUCCCUCAUCGACGCAGCCGUCGCAGCCCUCGCCCAUCUGGGGCUGCAGAUCAACGCCCGGAAGUGUUUCACCCUCGCCUUAGUCGCGUCUGGGCGCGACAAGAAGGUGAAGGUCGACGCCGACGUUACCUUCAAAGCGGGCAACGCCACCGUGCCCGCCCUACGUGUGGGUGAAACCUUCCGGUACCUGGGACUGCAAUUCUCCACCGCGGGUCGCUGCGUUUUCAACCCACGACGCCACCUGGUGGAGCAGCUGGACGUCAUCUCCCGAGCUCCGCUCAAGCCGCAACAGCGCCUCCACGCCCUCACCACCGUACUUCUGCCUGGCCUGUACCAUGGGCUGGCCCUCAGCCGCACCCGAGUGGGUGCGUUGAAAGCGGCAGAUGUGACCAUCCGUGCCGCCGUCAGGAGAUGGUUCCGCCUUCCGGCGGACACUCCCCUGGGCUACUUCCACGCUCCUAUAGCCCAGGGAGGCCUCGGCAUCCCAUCAUGCCGAUGGAUGGGGCCAACACUUCGCCGGUCCCGUCUCCUGGCGCUGAAGAGGAUUGGGCCAGCCGCCGACGGUGCAGGCCGGGACGAGGUGCAGCGUGAGAUUGAGGCGCUGGAGCGGCAUCUUAUGUGGGAGGGCCACCUCCUCAAAUCGUCGACGCAGGUUGGAGAGAUGUGGGCCGCGCGCCUGCACGUUGCCUUUGACGGUGCGGCGCUGUCAUCUUCCGCCGCCGUCAAGGGGCAACACCAGUGGGUCGCUGACACCAGUCGCCUGCUAUCUGGGCGUAACUUCAUCGACGCUCUCCGCGCCCGCAUCAACGCCUUCCCCACGAAGGCACGGCGCAGUCGCGGGCGGGAGGCGGACACCAGAUGCCGCGCGGGCUGCCAGGCCGUAGAGACCGCCAACCACGUGUUACAGGCUUGCUUCAGGACGCACGGGUCCCGGGUUAAGCGGCAUGACGCGAUCGUGCGCUAUGUCGCCCGUGGACUCGCGCAGAGGGGCUUCAACGUCUCUGUGGAGCCCCACCUCCGCACACCUGAGGGAAUCCGCAAGCCUGACGUGGUGGCGGUUAAAGACGGCAUCGCCCGCGUCAUCGACGCCCAGGUAGUCGGAGACCAUCUCCGGCUCGACUGGUGUCACUCCGAGAAAGCGGCCUACUACAACACGCCGUCCAUCAGGCGUGCCAUCUCCAACCUGCACCGUGACGUUGAGGAGGUUACAGUGUCCACCGCGACAUUGAAUUGGAGGGGUGUAUGGUCUCCAGCGUCGGCCGGAGAUCUCUCCGCACUUGGAUUUAGACCCCGAGAACUGGCGGUGCUUAGCACAAGAGUACUGCAAAGCUGCUGCACGAGCUAUCGCAUU